rnacentral:lncRNA from 1 species
CUCAACUUUUAUUUUAGAUUUAGGGGCACACGUGCAGAUUUGUUACAUGAGAAUAUUGUGUGAUGCUGAGGUUUGGAGGACGGGUGCCAUCACCCAGAUGGCGAGCAUCAUACCUGAAGGAAGUUCUUUAAUCCUCCAUCCCCAACCCUCCAGGAGGCCCCAGUGACUUUUGUUCCCAUCUUUUUGUCCACGUGUCCUCAAUGUUUAGCUCCCACUUGUAAGUAAGAACAUGCGGUAUUUGGUUUUUUGCUCCUGCAUUAAUUUGCUUACGAGAAUGGCCUCCAGCUGCAUCCAUGUUGCUGCAAAGGACACGAUUCCAUUCUUUUUAUGGCUACGUAGUAUUCCACAGUGUAUAUGUACCACGUUUUCUUUAUGUAGUCCACCACUGAUGGGCACCUAGGUUUGUUCCAUGUCUUGCUAUCGUGAAUAACGCUGUGAUGAACAUAUGUGUCCUUUUGGCAGAAUCCUUUAUUUUCUUUUGGGUAUAUACCCAGUAAUGGGAUUGCUAGGUUGAAUGGUAGCUGUGUUUUAAGAUCUUUGAGGAAUCUCCAGACUGCUCUCCACGGGCCUGGGCUAAUUUAUGUUCCCACCAGCAGUGCGUGAGCAUCACCUUUUUUCUUCAGCUUCACCAGCAUCUGUUGUUUUUUUGACUUUGUAAUAAUCGCCAUUCUGACUGCUGAGCUGGCAUCUCAUUGUGGUUUUGAUUUGCAUUUCUCUGAUAAUGAGAAUUUUUUCUUAUACUUGUUGGUCACUUGUAUGUCUUGUUUUGAGAAGUAUCUGUUCAUGUCCUUUGCCUUUUUUUUUUUUUUUUUGAGACAGAGUUUCACUCUGUAGCCCACGCUGGAGUGCAGUGGCGCAAUCUCGGCUCACUGCAAGCUCCUCCUCCCUGGUUCACGCCAUUCUCCUGCCUCAGCCUCCCGAGUAGCUGGGACUACAGGCGGCCACCACCACGCCCAGCUAAUUUUUUAAUAUUUUUUAGUAGAGACGGAGUUUCACCGUGUUAGCCAGGAUGGUCUCGAUCUCCUGACCUUGUGAUCCGCCCGCCUCAGCUUCCCGAAGUGCUCGGAUUACAGGCAUGAGCCACCGCGCCCGGCCGCCCAUUUUUUAAUGGGGUUGUUUUUUGCUUGUUGAUUUGUGUAAGCGUCCUAUAGAUGCUGGAUAUUAGGCCUUUGUCAGAUGCAUAGUUUGCAGACAUUUUCUCCCAUUCUGUAGGGUGUCUGUUUCCUCCGUUGGCAGUUUCUUCUGCUGUGCAGAAGCUCUUCAGUUUAAUUAGGUAUCACUUGUCUAUUUUUGUUUUUGUUGCAAUUGCUUUUGAGGACUUAGCCAGCGUUCUUUGCCAACGCCAACGUCAAGAAGACGUUGUCUUCCAGGAUGUUUAUAGUUUGACGUCUUGCAUUUGAGUCUUUAAUCCAUCUAGAGUUGAUUUUCGUCUAUGCGGAAGGGUAAGAGUCCAGUUUCCUUCUUCUGCCUGUGACUGAGCUGCUUAUCCCAGCACCAUCUAUCGGACAGGGAGUCCUUUCCCCGCGGCUUGUUUUCGUUGGUCUUGUCAAAGACCAGACGGGUGUAUGUGUGCAGCUUCAUGUCUGAGUUUUCUAUUCUGUUCUAUAUGAUAAUGAAACCAAAUCAAUGUCUCUGCUCAGACCCCUUCUGACAAGGUCUGUGGCGCCCACCAUGGCGUUAGGGCCACAGCCUCCUGCCCCAUGUGCCAGGCCCGGCUCUGCCCAGCUCCCUGCAGCUGCGCCAGUGUGUGCUGUGACUCGUGCUCCUGGUUUGUCAUCUGCCUCUCAGUAGACACCACGGCCUUCAAGCUUUCUCCGCUCCGUGACCAGCAGCUGGGACGGGACCAGCAGUGCAUGCGGCUCUGGAUUCAUGUUUGUUGAAUGACUGACUGAACGGAGGCUCCCUUACAGAAGUGAACGGCGCGGCCCUCCCUGAGUUCCGGCCUGGCUCUGGAUACCAAGGAGCAAGGUGGUCAGGGGUCAGGGGCUGGAGUGGGGAGAUUGCCUGGGAGGGGGCUGGAGGGUGUGGUGGAACUGCAGGUUCUCUCCUUGACAUGCCUGUGGGGGAGCCUUUCCCGGCCCUCUCUCCGCUGGUUUUCACCCUUUCUCCGGUGCAGCCACACUGGGCAUCCCACCCCAGGGAUCCAGGAAGGGGGCGUGUCGGCCGAGUGCGAGCCCGUUUCUGAACACCCUGUGAAGUUGGUGAGAAUUCAGGUGCCUAUCGGCCGGGCUCCACCUGUGCACCAGGUGUGGCCGCCUCACUGUGACUUCAAAGGUCCCCGGGGAGGAAGGAGGCUCCCAGCUGCACACAGCCACAGUCUAGUCCUAGCAGCAGUGACCUUGGUUUGGAGCCCGGGUUGGGGACCCCAGUGAUGCCAAUUUUCUUUGCCCUCAUCAUCCCAAGGCGGCUGCUGCAGUUUCAGACAUCACAACUUUGUUCAGCGCAAAGGAGAAGGGGGACAGGGGAUGAGAAAACUGGAGUUCGGAGAUGGGCUUGCUCACGGCCUCACAGCCAGGGAGCCUGCUCACCCCAGUGUGUGCCCAGCCAGAAACCUGCGUCUGGGCCCCCAGAGGCUGGGCUCCUCACAGUGGGGACCCACCAUGUCCACUGCCUGCAGGAACCGACAGAGAGGCUGUGAUGCUGAGCCCCGGCCUCAUGCAACAAAGCUUUGCCCGACGGAAUGCACCCAGCGGCAGUGGAGAGCAGUGCUGGAUCCUGCGGGGUUGAGGCGGUGGAGCUUGGUCAGCAUGGGGUGCAGGGGCAGGAGGGGGGACGUGGCCAGGGGCCAGGGGCCCGGGAGCAGUCAGGGCUGGUCGGCUGACCAGAGGCUCAAGGAGAAGGUGAGCUUUGAGUGAUGGUCACUGGGCCAUAUGGGGUGGGGCAGCUCUGGCUCUGAGAGAACUCCUGCUUGGAGGAGGCCUUGGGCUUCCUGAGGCUGGUGGCCCCCAGGCCACACUCUGCCCUGGCCCUAAGGGACUCUGAGCUCUGGGCUCCCCGAAGCCUCAGAGAUGAGGAGCAAGCAGCUGCAGGUCCCCAAGCCAUAGUGGGGGAAGCCUGGGACUUUGCAGGGGAUGCCAGGUUAUAUCUGAUGCUGGCCCCUGGUCCUGAUCAGCCUGCUUUUAACAGCAGAUGGCGGAAAGAGAGGCAGAGGUGGUGUACUAGGCUGUUCUUGCAUUGCUAUAAAGAAAACCUGAGACUGGGUAAUUUAUAAAGAAAAGAGGGUUAAUUGGCUCAUGGUUUUGUAGGCCGUACAUGAAGUGUAGUGCCAGGAUCUGCUUCUGAUGAGGCCUCAGGAAGCUUCCAGUUGUGGUGGAAGGUAAAGGGGGAGCAGAUACAUGACACUUUAAGAGGGGGGCAAGUCAGAGGGAUGGAGUCUCACUCUGUCGCCCAGGCUGGAGUGCAGUGGCGUAAUCUCAGCUCACUGCAACCUCUGUCUCCCAGGUUCAAGCAAUUCUCCUGCCUCAGCCUCCCAAGCAGCUGGGAUAACAGGUGCGCACCACCACACCCAGCUAAUUAUUUUUGUGUUUUUAGUAGAGACAGGGUUUCACCAUGUUGGCCAGGCUGGUCUUGAACUCCUGACCUCAAGUGAUCCACCCUCCUCAGUCACCCAAAGUGCUGGGAUUACAGGUGUGAGCCACUGCGCCCAGCCACCACACACUUUUAAACUACCAGAUCUACCAGAGUGAGAACUCACUUAUCACCAACAGGAUGACCCACGCCAUUCAGGAAGGACCCACUCCUGUGAUCCAAACACCUCCUACCAGCCCCCACCUCCAGCACUGGUGAUUACAUUUCAACAUGAGAUCUGUGGGGACAAACAUCUAAACCAUAUCGAGUGGGCUCAGGAGGCAGCAGCCCUGGAAGAUGCCGAGUGCCUGGGAGGACAGAGGAAGAUGCCGGAGUUCACGGGUGCCAUGUGCAGGUGCAGCUCCUGCCAGGCGGCUGAAGAUGGGGCUCCAGGUGGUGGCAGUGCCCCAGCCCCACCAGUCCUUCCUGGGGAGAGGGUCACGGCUCAGUGGCUGAAGGGCUGGGGGGCUUGUCUGAAAGGAGUGAAUGCCUGCCCAUCAGGCACUUUCGGAAAAAGCUGGAAACCAAGAUUUCCCUGAGAAGUCCUGGGCUUUCUGGUGUUGGGAACUAUAGGAAGCAGCCGGCUUCUGCUUCCCCUCCAGGGUCCAGGAGAGAAUUUGUUUUGGACAAACCUUCUAGGCCACAUGCUUGGAGCACCUCUGACCUCACCCAGUGCCAUGCCCCCCAGCUGAGGCCCGGCCCCUGCAUGUGUUCAGGGAUGUGAGGUCAGGGAGUGGUUCAGGGAUGUGAGGCCUAGCACUGGUCCGCAGGCCUCUGGGAGCCCUCUGGGCCCCUUGCAGAGCGGGGCAGCACUUGGCUGAGGACUGCGAGGGCUGAGCUGUCCUGACCCAGUCCUGGGAUAGCAGAGCCGCCCACCCUGCCUGGGGGCUCCUGGGUGUCUCCUGCAGCCACGCCACUUGUAGCUGGGUUCUGUCCUGGGACAGCAGAGACACCCAGCCUGUCUCAGGUCUCCAGGGCGUCUCCUGCAGCCACGCCACUUGUAGCUGGGCUCUGUGCUUGUUGUCAGUGCAGCCCCAGCAGCCCAGAGCGGUUCACAAGCUCCCAGACCGAUUUACCUGCUCCAGUGAAACUCCUAUGAGGGCACUGAAACUUCCCAUUAUUACAGGGCUCCGGCCCACAGCCAUGGGGAUGCCCCUUCCCACACCAGCUCCUGCAACUGGAAGGCUGUGGGCCACUCACUCUGAAGCCUCCCCUUUCCAGACACAAGGGCAGGAGUCAAGGGCAGUGGCAACAUCCCCCAGAGAUGCCGAUGGACGGUGUUUCAACCUAAAUCGGACAGCCGCACUCCCUCCCUGGCCACACAGCAGGACAGAGACCAGGACACAGCGGCCCACCCGCUGCCCUCACACUCCCCUCCUCCACGGUGUGAACUAAACCGCACACGUGGCCUGUUACUCGGACAAGGUGGGAAGGUGUGGCCCCACCCCCUCCUAAGACAUUACGAUGCGGAGAACCCCCAAGCCCACCCUCAACUGUGUUCACUGGAAACAGCCCAGCAAGGGCUACGUGUGCCUUCCGGUUUCACAUUUGGGAAGUGGGUAAAAUGCAGUAUUGACAGUUCUCAAAUAUUGGUGUUGAUCUUAACUGCUAGAGAUACCGUGAGGGAAAAGAGCGCUUUUGUUCAACGUUUAUGAAUGGAUAAAGGAGGAACUGAAACCAGCAAAGGGGCGGCUGGCCCUGGACCAGACGCGGCUUCGCCGAGGAGCUGUGGGCAGGGUGGGCCGGCACCUCCUUUCCUCUCGAGAAGGAUGUGGAGAGCAGGUGGCUCGUGCCACCUGCCUCCCUGGCCCUCGUCCAUGCCUCUGCACUGACCGCUGGGCUCCUGCCGCCCGGGGAUGUGGGGAAAGGCCUUGGAGUGGGAUGGAGGUCCGCGUGUGGGUGUGUGGCAGGUACCGGUGGAUUGAGGUCCAUGUGUGGGUGUGAACCUGGGUGUGAGACUGUGUGUGGGUGGGUGUGUACGUGAGUGUGCAUGUGCACGUACACCUGUGUAUGUAUGCGUGUGAGGUGUGUGAACUGUGAGUGUGCUGUGGCUGUGAGCGUGUGCACACGUGAACUGAGCGUGACAGUGCGAAUGUGUGUGCCGCGAAUUCCACUGGCCACAUGAAUGCAGGCGAGGCCGCUCCGCUAGGCUGUGGAUUUCCAGCAUGGCCACGCUGGUUGCCUGUGUUGUCUUGUUGACACAGGAUGGAGAAAGAACGAUGCAGGAUGCAUCUCUGAGCCUGGCUCAGGCACCCAGAGGGAGCUGGGUUUGGGAGCAGCUGCUCUGCGUAGCCCUGGCUUGGAUGCUGCGAGCCAGGUUUAGGGAUGCCAGUGAGACCCGCUGAAGCGUUGGGGCCCUACCCGAGGUGAGGCGUGCCCAGGUCUGGGGACUCCUGUCUUGGGGCCCCUCCCAGGAGAACCACCCCCCUCCUCUGGCAGGAAGCCCCCAAAGCUGUGGAGGAGCCCUGGGCCCACAGACAGCAUCCCUGCUGCUGGGGACCCCAGGCCUGUGCGGGUGCCGCUGCCAUGGGGCUGAUGGGGCCCAGCCCAGCAGCCCCUGCCUUUGCUUUCCCGGCUUCUCUGCGGCUCUGUGCUUUUGCUGCCCCAUUCCAGGCCGGAAGGCUCCCGCGCCUCCAUGGAUCUUCAUGAUUUGGCCAACCAGAGUGAGCACCGUGAGGAAGUGGAGACAGACACAACUUUCAGCAGCAGAAGACAGGAUAAUAAAGUUGGGUUUGGUUUAUGAUCUAACGUGACCAUUAAAAGUGUUUAAUAAACAACGUUAAAGACUACUUAGUGGCAGAUGCAUCCGGCAAUGCUUAGCAUAGCCUCAUGACUGUCAAUACGCACAGGCUUGAAAAACACCUGCAGGAUACAUGUGGGCAUGUUAGUGUGGGUUAUCUCAGCAGGGCGGCAUAUCGAAUCUCGGUGCCCUUCUGUAGUGUCUAUAUUUUCUACAGUGAAGCUGGGAUACUUUGGUGAGCAGAGGCAUUGUUUUCAAAGUUCCCAUUGGUACUUCCAUCACAUCCCCGUGUGGUUCUGUCCUGGACCGGCUGCCCACUGAGGUCCCACUCGCCCCUACCCUGCCCUGUCUGGCCAGCUGGGUACCUGCCCAGGAGGAAGAGGCUCAGUGUUUGGGGCCUGUGUUAUGCCCUGAAAAGCCACUGCUGUUGGGUGAGGGCCCAUGAGGCCUUCAGUUUGCCAUCGUCAUGUGCUUCUGAAGAGCCAGGAUGCUGUCCACUGUUUGUCUCCUGGCGGGACAGAAUUCCACUCAGUGCAUAUCAGGGGCAGUGAUGGGGCUGGGGGUGUGAGGGCUCAGCUGUGCCCUGAACUCCUUCACAGUCUUGCAGGAGGGGUCAUGGAGCCAUAUCUGGGUUUGCAAUUUUUGGAAAGUUACGUGACGAUCUGCACUCAGGAAUGCUGAGUGUUCGGCAGGCCCCAUGAACAGUGAUCAAAUGUGACGCUGUGUGUCCCACAGCCUAAGGGCUGUGGCAGAGACCAGGAGGGCCAUCAGCUCCCACAGCUUUCGAGUCCACCUCAGGGCUCCUCCUUGCUGACCUCCCUGGGUUGUCAGUGGAGACAGCCACCCUCCCACAGAGCACCUGCCUGAAAUGGGCCAGGCCGCCCCUGUGCCCUGGCUCUUGCUGCACAUGCUGAGGUCAGCACGGAGGCGCCCUCGGGCACCAGCAUGCCCUCGGGUUUGCAGCUUGUCAAAUAUCCCAUGAAGGCAACCUGACCAAAUGUGCUCUAACACCACUGGACCAAUGGAACGUCUUGGGCUGAACAGAUGCAGC